rnacentral:lncRNA from 1 species
GUAUUCAGAAUUAAGAAAUCAGUGGAUGAGUGCAUGUCUAAAAGUUGAAGAGUUCCAUGUGCUUCAUCCUAUAAGCAAGGGAAUAUGAUAAUAUGCCAAAAUGACACAUAUAUUCAACAAUUCAAAUUCACCUUUCUAAGGAAGGUCACGGCUGACUCAGGCGUAAGACAAGUAAGACAUUUGCUUUAUGUCUUAUGAAAAAUAUUAUAGAAUUUUGAAUUAAACAACUCAAAUCUUAAAGAAAAAGACAAAUCAAAAUUAUAUUUUAUGAUGUAUGAGUAUACAUUUAAUUAAAUAUUCUUAUUAAAAUUUGAAUAUUUUAUGAUGUAUGAGUAUACAUUUAAAUAUUCUUAUUAAAAUUUGGCUUUAACCUCUAAUUUUAUUUUUAUUGAAACGCCCUUGACGAAGUCAAUCUACUAACAGAAUUAGAAUCUGAAUCUGAAUAGUCAUCUUAAAAGAGAAAGUGAAACUUAUUAAUGAAACAUUCUAGGCAUACGUACCUGAGAAAAUUUUUGUUGCUUUAGAUCAAGGGAAAAUUUCUGUUGCUUUAGAUCAAGGGAACGACGACGACGGAGCUUGAGUGAUGCAGCUCUGAGGAAGCUAAAAGCACCAUGCUUUUUCUUCUCCUUGACAACUGGUUGUGGUUGAUCGACA